rnacentral:rRNA from 1 species
UACAGAGGUCCCAAGCGUUGUUCGGAAUUACUGGGCGUAAAGCGCACGUAGGCGGACCAGUUAGUUGGGGGUGAAAUCCCGGGGCUCAACCCCGGAACUGCCUCCAAAACUGCUGGUCUGGAGGUCGAGAGAGGUGAGUGGAAUUCCGAGUGUAGAGGUGAAAUUCGUAGAUAUUCGGAGGAACACCAGUGGCGAAGGCGGCUCACUGGCUCGAUACUGACGCUGAGGUGCGAAAGCGUGGGGAGCAAACAGG